rnacentral:lncRNA from 1 species
UUAUUUUCAUGUCUUGCUGAUUAGAACAGGGUUGCCUUUUUAUGCCCUGCUGUCGGGAACAGGUUUAUUUUUAAACAAUCGAUUUAAAAAGGACAGAUUGGAUACUGGAUAUUGACACAAGUAUGUUUUUGCUUACAUUAUUAAACUGUUUGGUGACAGGUUUUAUAUUUCUGAACUAGUCUAGAAAAUAUAGGUCUCUGUCAUGAACAAGGUAUACAUUUUCCGAGCGUGUCUAGAACAGGUGAUUUUUUUUUCAAUAUUUCUGUUUAGAACAGGGUAUGUUUUGCAAUGUUUUCUGGUUAGAAAAGAAAGAAAUUUACACAAUAGGUACAUUGUGUAACUGGACAGAUGCGUUUUUUAGUCUAUAUUAGUAUAUUUUGUACUACUGCUCACUCGACUGUUUUUCAAGAUUUACUCAAGUACAUGCAUAGUAUACGGCUAGGCGGUAAGCGGUCAGCACUAGGAUGGAAGUCGUACAAUGAACAAUUUCGUCUCAGAAUGUCACAGGAUCCAGCUGGUUUUUGGGCUGUCGUUGACCUUGCUUAUGGCUGCUCAAUAUGUAUCCUCCGUCUAGUAUUGGUAAUGGCAAUAAGCAUUGGGCGCUUAAAAUGUUACGCAUUCAAUUACCAAGGUUCAUGCGUGAAUCAAUGAUGUGCUUUUACUCAUUCUUGUUUAAGAUGCUUUGAUCAGCACCCACUUAUGAUUCAGUGCCCCAGACAAGACUGUUUCCUGAAGGCAGGCAAAAUGUAAGAUUAAAGCAAACUAGGCCUCAGUUUAGACCGAGAUAUAAGGCACGUGUAAGCAACUCGUUGCAGUAUCCCAUCAGUACGAACUCGUAUACUGGGCAAAAUAUGAAGUGAAUUUUUAGCAAAUGCAAUUACAAUUGAUCUUAAAGAGAUAUCAAAUUGAGAAUUUUGUGAUAUUUAUCUUAUGUUUAUUUUUGUAUAGAAUUUGGAUUGUAUUGAUUUCGAAUCCAAACUGAUGUAUCAUCUAUUGGAUAUAGGGUGGACUCCAUUAAACACAACUGAAUUAAAAGAAUGUAAUUGGGGGUUAUACAAAAGUGUAGAUUCCUAGCUCCGGCUGAGGGGUUUACUUUUGGCUUAAGGUUAUCAUAUGAAGGUUAAAAACUACCGCAAAUAAAUUUAAUGUCUUAAGCACGGAAGUUCGUAUUAUCAUGUGAAAAUCAAUCCAGAGCUGGGAUCGGAUACUUUUAAUCUUAUUAAAUGUUUGUUAAAUGUUAAUUUGAACCUCUCAAUUUAGCAACAAUUUUUUUUUUAUUUAUUAAGAAU